UCCUACGGGAGGCAGCAGUGGGGAAUAUUGCACAAUGGGCACAAGCCUGAUGCACCCAUGCCGCGUGUAUGAAGAAGGCCUUCGGGUUGUAAAGUACUUUCAGCGGGGAGGAAGGGAGUAAAGUUAAUACCUUGCUCAAUGACGU
rnacentral:rRNA from 1 species